AAGAGAUGUGUCCCAGGGCUGACGCAAUACAAAUUUCAAGGCUGUGGAACCAGGAGAAGGUCUGAGGAACGGAGCUCCCGGAAGUAAAGGCAUUGCCUCACAUUUGAGUGCAUGAGGAGAAGUAAGGAAGAUUCUAUCACACUCUUGCUGUCAAUGGUUACAAGCCAUAGCUCAGAACACCUGGCAACAGUACUUAAGGAAGGAAAGGUUUGCACUGGCCCGCAGUCUGAAGGAGGACAGAGGACACAAGGCAAUGAGAGCAGCUCUAGGUGUAGCCGUGGGAGCCCGAUAUAGCUGGACGCGCUGCAUCUGAAGGUUAAGGAGAUGUUCUCUGGGUUUCCAUAGUGCAAAAGUUACCCGUUUUUCUCCCUUUGCAAUGGCAUGACUUCAGGAUUUGUGGUCAGAAGCACGAGGUGGAGAAGUCCUGAUACAAUCUUUGUACUGUACGGUUGCCGUCUGGACUUCAUUGACUAUCCCGGAGCGAUCCAGCACAAGUGACAAGUGAAGACCUUGGCUGUGUUUCAGAAGCACAAUUACAACUCUUGGGGUAAAGAGCCUCAGCGACAAGGCCCAGGAAAGCAGGUGUAUUGAGAAUUAGAGAGACUCGGAGCGGGCCCCAGAGGAGAGGUAGGGAGUGGUCCUGGCAGCUGUUGGAUGAAGCAGGUUGGAAGGGCCUUGAGAGCAGAGGUCUGUUGUUUAACAUCAUCUUCGAGUGUACCCUAGCACGGCGGUCUCGGCUGGAGAGAUUUUCUGUGUGCUGAACUUAGAUGGAUAUGUCAAAGUGUACUCAAGCUUUCUUGAACUUUUUCCCCAUCUGAAAUCACUAAAAAUGUGCAGUAUUUCAAAAAGCCCAAGUUUGCCUCCAAAUAUGCUUGUGAAAUGUAUUUCAACACACAUAUCCAACAGUAAGAACAUGCUGGCCAUAUCAAUCCUCACAGCAACUCUUUAUUGCAGCAUAUUGAGGUUUAAUCAGGAAACAGGUUAGAGCUUCUAUGUACAGGUUUUCUUCUAGUUUGAGGUUUUCCUGAAAUAUGUGACACAGACUCGUUAUACAAAUGGCCACUAGUAAAUUAUUUCCAGCAUGUGUUACUCUGUCAACAGUGAUGCUUUCACAGAACCUUUGUCCUCCACAAUUCCCCCCCUCCAUUUAAACCAGGACAUUUCCAUCUCAGUGAGCCACUGCUGUAUUUGGGACCUAAGCGAGAAGCUGGAUAAACAGAGGCGCUAUUAUUAUUGUUACUGUCAAUAUAGUUUCCUUCCCUAGUUAUAACUGAUUAUUUCCUUUUUUCCAUUUCAAAACAUUUUUGUUCAAAUGCUUCUGAUGGCUCUCGUCACAAGCAAUAUUCCUUCGGAAAUAAUGCACCUUUUUAAUUUCUCAACCUAAAAUACACAGCCCGUCAUCUCCAUAGUAGGAUGAUGCUGUUAGAGAGAUCAGCUGUGUCUAGUUGGAGAAUUUUUAGGGGAAUAAGGGAUUACAGGAGCGAGUGCUUCCUCUAUUAGUUCGUGCAAAGUGAAGACAAGAAAGAAAGUCUGUAGGAUGUAAGAGGUGAUGUUACUCCAGCAAGAGUUGGGCAUUUGGAAACACAUGGAGUUAAAAGCAGUUUUCACUUAAUGUGCUUUGUUGUUUCUGCUACAAUAAAAAUAAAUAAUAAAAAUUC
rnacentral:lncRNA from 1 species